ACUGAAACCUGUCCUAUCAAAUGUCUAUCAUUUCUACUUUUUCUUUUGACGGUUCAGUUCUUGGGAAAGCUGUUUCUUUCAAAAAACUGAUUCAUUUACUUUUCUUAAACUUUCCUCUCAUUUAUCUUAUUCUCCAGUCAUUCCUCAGUCUGGUUCACGCUCCCAAUUGAUCUUUUUUUUUUUAUUUUCGGCAUACCCAGGGAUUUUCAUUACCAGAGAGUCUCCUUUGAUUAUGAUCUCCGGCCAUUUCUUUUCAAAUCCUACUUGGACUGUUUUUCGACAUACAAUUGCUUCAGCUGCAAAGGCAGAGGCUACGCCUUGAUGGAUUUUUUAGCAAGAUAAGAGGACUAUCCCUUCUUCAUUUUUUACCACAAUACUUGAAGCUGAUUGGUGAUGACUCCCAUCAUACACACCAUCGAAAUCAAUUUUAAUGAACUCAAUAGAUGGCCCAAAGUGCACAACAGAAAAGGCAGCAUUGACAUGGGGAAAACUGAUCAAAGACCAAGGCAAUCCACUGUACAAAAUCCAUAUUCGUGUCCAUGAGAAUAUUCUGAAUUGAUAGUGUUUUCCAAACUUCCACUGUAACAGGACAUUCACAAAAAAUAUGAUCAAUUGUUUCGGUUCUUCCACCACAUCGGGGGCAACUUGUAUUACUAACAAGUUGUCUAUGUUGCAUAUUAACCCUUGUAGGCAAAUAGUUCCAUGAAACUCUCCAUAUUGUAAUCUUGAUUUUUGAUGGUAGAUUUAGGAGCCAAAGUUUUUUGUAAAAAUUGUUGUAGACGGUUUGUAAAGUGUAAGCUCUAGGAUUUUCAUCAGAAGUUUAUAAUAGUUUAUAGGCGCUACGGACCUAAAAUUCGCCUGAAUACUUGCCUCCUCAAACAAGAAAAUCAUCAUGAGGUGUUCGUACCAAAGGGAUCGGAGGAGUUUUCCAGCAUCUUCCUCCGAAAAGAGGUUCGAUAGCUCACUCGCUUCGGACAAGUUGGAGUUACGCAUCACAUUAUCCAGUUGCCGAUUGGUACUUUUGAAUCUGUGGAUAUAUAUAAAUAUGGCAUGUAUAGGCUAGUAUUAAAGAUGAUAAGUAUGGUUACUUGAGAUAAUGAAUUUUUGGUACAUUUUGUGGUAUAAGUCUAAGUCAUGUGAUUUGGCUAAA